CUACGGGGCGCACCAGUGAGGAAUAUUGCACAAUGGGGGGAACCCUGAUGCAGCAACGCCGCGUGGAGGAUGACGCAUUUCGGUGUGUAAACUCCUUUUAUAUGUCAAGAAAAUGACGGUAGCAUAUGAAUAAGCACCGGCUAACUCCGUGCCAGCAGCCGCGGUAAUACGGAGGGUGCAAGCGUUACUCGGAAUCACUGGACGUAAAGGACGCGUAGGCGGGUUGGAAAGUCAGGUGUGAAAUCCUACAGCUUAACUGUAGAACUGCACUUGAAACUUCCAAUCUAGAGUAUGGGAGGGGGAGAUGGAAUUAGUGGUGUAGGGGUAAAAUCCGUAGAUAUCACUAGGAAUACCUAAAGCGAAGGCGAUCUCCUGGAACAUUACUGACGCUAAGGCGUGAAAGCGUGGGGAGCAAACAGGAUUAGAUACCCCUGUAGUC
rnacentral:rRNA from 1 species